rnacentral:lncRNA from 1 species
GCCUGUUUACAUGUUAAUAUUUGACUUCUAUCAACUUUGAUAUUCAUCCUAAAGGUCCCCACAGUACCAAGUUUGAGCUGUGUACUUGAAAGUAAAAUUUGUCAUUUUGAUCUUCUAAGUGCUAUCGGAAAUGCUCGACUUAGGGUGAAAUCUUUUAGUGUUGAAUUUUUACUAAACAAGUUGGUUUAGAAUAUAGAUCUCCAUCAACCUUUGGGUAGGCCAUUGUUGUUGGGUUGAACAUAACAUACUAGAAUCAAUAGUACACAACAGAACUCUUUAAUCUAAAACCUGACCUAUAUUUGUUAGUGUAUAUGAUUGAUUGCUCAUGUAGACAAAGAUUAGUUUAGAAACACUACUAGUAAGAUCUCUUGGUUAAAAUAUUCUGUGAUGAUGAUAAGUGGACUUGAAUAAAAGAUGGACAUUUUUCUCAACACAUGAAAAAAGCUGCAAUCCUGGGGAUGUACGUGUGAUGGUUUCAUGGUUUAUUCAGUAAUCUUUUUGUCGAUAUGCCUCCAUAUCUUGUCGAUAUGCCUCCAUAUCUUGUCGGUAUUUGUUUUCUCUCAGC